GAUGAAGAACGUAGCGAAAUGCGAUAAGUAGUGUGAAUUGCAGAAUUCAGUGAAUCAUCGAAUCUUUGAACGCACAUUGCGCCCCUUGGUAUUCCAUGGGGCAUGCCUGUUCGAGCGUCAUUUGUACCUUCAAGCUCUGCUUGGUGUUGGGUGUUUGUCCUUGCUCUAGUGGCGGGACUCGCCUUAAAGUAAUUGGCAGCCAGUGUUUUGGUUUUGAAGCGCAGCACAAGUCGCGAUUCAAGUCUAUACGCUAGUUUCCACAAGUCUUUUAUCACUUUUGACCUCGGAUCAGGUAGGGAUACCCGCUGAACUUAAGCAUAUCAAUAAGCGGUGGA
rnacentral:misc_RNA from 1 species